rnacentral:tRNA from 1 species
CAGAGGGUAGUUUAGAUUAAAAUAUUAAUUUUGGGGAUUAAUGAUGGAUAAGAAGUUUCCUUCUCUGA